UACGUAGGGGCCAAGCGUUGUCCGGAUUUAUUGGGCGUAAAGGGCGCGUAGGCGGCGUGUUAAGUCAGUUGUGAAAUCUCCAAGCUUAACUUGGAACGGUCAACUGAUACUGAUGUGCUAGAGUGCAGAAGGGGCAACCGGAAUUCUUGGUGUAGCGGUGAAAUGCGUAGAUAUCAAGAGGAACACCUGAGGUGAAGACGGGUUGCUGGGCUGACACUGACGCUGAGGCGCGAAAGCUAGGGUAGCAAACGGG
rnacentral:rRNA from 1 species